UACCAGCACCCCGAGUGGUCGGGACGAUUAUUGGGCCUAAAGCAUCCGUAGCCGGUCAUGCAAGUCCUCCGUUAAAUCCACCUGCUUAACAGAUGGGCUGCGGAGGAUACUAUAGAGCUAGGAGGCGGGAGAGGCAAGCGGUACUUAGUGGGUAGGGGUAAAAUCCGUUGAUCCAUUGAAGACCACCAGUGGCGAAGGCGGCUUGCCAGAACGCACUCGACGGUGAGGGAUGAAAGCUGGGGGAGCAAACCGA
rnacentral:rRNA from 1 species